GGCAUAUCGAAAGGAACAUGGGACAUUUGGAAGAGAAAUUGCCAAAAGGCAGCGGAGAAACAAAAGCUUUGAUCCAGCUCAAUGGUGGUCCAGUCAUGGGUCAGAUUCACCAAAUCUCAGAGUAUUGGCGAUGCGGAUUUUGAGUUUGACAUGCAGCUCCUCCGCUUGUGAGAGGAAUUUUAGUGUUUUUCAGCAGAUUCACACAAAGAAACGCAACAGGCUGCUUCAUAAUAAAAUGAGAGACCUUGUUUUUAUCAAGUUCAACUCCAAACUCAAACAAAAGAGAAAGAUGA